rnacentral:lncRNA from 1 species
AUGGAAGAUUUCAUCCCCGUCAACCAAAAAACAGAACACCAAGAACAUGGGAAUACAGGGCGGCCGUGGGAAGAAACGGUAACUACUUCCCAAGAUCCUGAGCUUGGGUUAUCCGAAGCCCUAGAGUUGGAGCAGGGGCCAGAAACUGGACUCCAGACCAGGAGCAGCCCUCCUAGAAUGCCCCUCUCUGGAGCCAGAACGCCGGAUCGACCUGCGGAUGACCUCGUAGGACCACGCUCAUCAUUUCCAUCUUCCUCAUCUCAGGAGCUCCCUUCCACUCUUUCUCCCCUGGCUCUGGCCAGGCAGGACUUUAUGGCACCAUGGCAGUCAGACAAGACCAUUAGUGUUAUUUCUGAAGCUGAGACACCUCAUUUUGGCCAUUUGGAACAAUUAUCUGAUAAAGGUGGAUCAACUCCUCAUCAAACAUGUCAGUCAAAGGGAAACAACUUUCAUCAGUCUCAGCAAACUAAAUAUCCCCUGUAUGAACUGAGGGAUGUGAGCGACCACACCUCUAAACAGAAAGAGCUGAGAUUUGACAUUUUUCAAGAAGACGACUCAAACAGUAACUAUCAUCUAGAUCAGCCUGAGUCUGGGGCUUCUGAAGUGGCCCCCAGCGUGCUUGAGAUUGCCGUUCAAAAUACUAAGGCUUACCUACUGAAGACCAGUAGCAAGUCGGGCUUAAAUCUAUAUGAUCAUCUUUCUGAAAUGCUGACCAAGGUCUUAGAUAAGCGUCCUGAAAAUGCUGUGGACAUCAUUGAAAAUAUUAGCCAAGAUGUCAAGAUGGAACAUUUUAGUAAAAAAUUAGAUACACUCCAAAAUGAGAAUGAGAUGCUUCCAACCUAUGAAAUGGCAGAGAAACAGAAAACUCUUUUUCUUCAGGGAAAUUUAGAAGGAGCUGACCAAGAACUGGAAGAUGAAAUAGGUCGGUGUAAUUGGUUCAACCCCAUACAAAAAAGUGAGGAAGAAGAGGAAGAAGAAGAUGAAGAAAAAGAAGAAGAAAAAGGAGAAGAGCUUGAUGACAUAGAACAGGAAGUGGGGCCUCCACUCUUGACACCAAUCUCUGAAGAUUUAGAGAUCCAGAAUACAUCGCCUUGGACAACACGGUUAUCCUCAAAUCUCAUUCCUCAAUAUGCGAUUGCAGUCCUUAGAUCCAACCUUUGGCCUGGAGCAUACGCCUUUUCCAAUGGCAAAAAGUUUGAAAAUUUCUACAUAGGCUGGGGUCAUAAAUACAGUCCAGACAGCUAUACACCUCCAGUUCCCCCAGCUGUUUAUCAAGAGUACCCCAGUGGACCAGAAAUUACGGAAAUGGAUGAUCCUACUGUGGAGGAGGAGCAGGCCUUCAGGGCUGCACAAGAAGCAGUUCAAGAGGAGAAUGAAGAAACUGAGGAAGAGGAAGAUGAUUAUGACUAA